rnacentral:rRNA from 1 species
GAUGAACGCUGGCGGCGUGCCUAAUACAUGCAAGUCGAGCGAACAGACGAGGAGCUUGCUCCUCUGACGUUAGCGGCGGACGGGUGAGUAACACGUGGAUAACCUACCUAUAAGACUGGGAUAACUUCGGGAGACCGGAGCUAAUACCGGAUAAUAUAUUGAACCGCAUGGUUCAAUAGUGAAAGACGGUUUUGCUGUCACUUAUAGGUGGAUCCGCGCCGCAUUAGCUAGUUGGUAAGGUAACGGCUUACCAAGGCAACGAUGCGUAGCCGACCUGAGAGGGUGAUCGGCCACACUGGAACUGAGACACGGUCCAGACUCCUACGGGAGGCAGCAGUAGGGAAUCUUCCGCAAUGGGCGAAAGCCUGACGGAGCAACGCCGCGUGAGUGAUGAAGGUCUUCGGAUCGUAAAACUCUGUUAUUAGGGAAGAACAAAUGUGUAAGUAACUAUGCACGUCUUGACGGUACCUAAUCAGAAAGCCACGGCUAACUACGUG